UACGAAGGGGGCUAGCGUUGUUCGGAAUUACUGGGCGUAAAGCGCGCGCAGGCGGUCUUCCAAGUCAGUGGUGAAAGCCCGGAGCUCAACUCCGGAACUGCCAUUGAAACUGUUAGACUUGAGGACGAGAGAGGUGAGUGGAAUUCCCAGUGUAGAGGUGAAAAUUCGUAGAUAUUGGGAAGAACACCGGUGGCGAAGGCGGCUCACUGGACUGGUAUUGACGCUGAGGUGCGAAAGCGUGGGGGAGCAAACAGG
rnacentral:rRNA from 1 species